UUACAGCCAUAUCGCCUUGAAACGCAGGUUCUCGUACGAUCACCGAAGUUAAGCAACGUCGAGCCUGGUCUGUACCUAAAUGGGUGACCGCUUGAGAAUACCAGGU